CCCUUAGAUGUUCUGGGCCGCACGCGCGCUACACUGAUCAGUGCAACAAGCAUCCGUCCUUGGCCGACAGGCCCGGGCAAUCUUUGAACGCUGAUCGUGAUGGGGAUAGACUUUUGCAAUUUUUGGUCUUCAACGAGGAAUUCCUAGUAAACGCAAGUCAUCAACUUGCAUUGAUUACGUCCCUGCCCUUUGUACACACCGCCCGUCGCACCUACCGAUUGAAUGGUCCGGUGAAGCCUCCGGAUUGGCGUGCACCCUCGGGUGCUGCCGAGAAGUUGGCUAAACCUUACCAUUUAGAGGAAGGAGAAGUCGUAACA
rnacentral:rRNA from 1 species